GACGAACGCUGGCGGCGUGCUUAACACAUGCAAGUCGAACGGAAAGGCCCUGCUUUUGUGGGGUGCUCGAGUGGCGAACGGGUGAGUAACACGUGAGUAACCUGCCCUUGACUUUGGGAUAACUUCAGGAAACUGGGGCUAAUAUCGGAUAGGAGCUCCUGCUGCAUGGUGGGGGUUGGAAAGUUUCGGCGGUUGGGGAUGGACUCGCGGCUUAUCGGCUUGUUGGUGGGGUAGUGGCUUACCAAGGCUUUGACGGGUAGCCGGCCUGAGAGGGUUACCGGCCACAAUGGGACUGAGAUACGGCCCAGACUGCUACGGGAGGCAGCAGUGGGGAAUAUUGCACAAUGGGCGGAAGCCUGAUGCAGCAACGCCGCGUGCGGGAUGACGGCCUUCGGGUUGUAAACCGCUUUCGCCUGUGACGAAGCGUGAGUGACGGUAAUGGGUAAAGAAGCACCGGCUAACUACGUG
rnacentral:rRNA from 1 species